GCCUGGGUGGCUUGGUCAGUUAAGCGUCUGACUCCUGUUUCAGCUCAGGUCAUGAUCUCAGGGUCGUGGGAUCGAGCCCCGCCUUGGGCU
rnacentral:tRNA from 1 species